rnacentral:sRNA from 1 species
GUGACUAGUGCUGUGAUGUGAUACUCGA